UACGGGGGGGGCAAGCGUUGUUCGGAAUUACUGGGCGUAAAGGGCUCGUAGGUGGCCAACUAAGUCAGACGUGAAAUCCCUCGGCUUAACCGGGGAACUGCGUCUGAUACUGGAUGGCUAGAGUUUGGGAGAGGGAUGCGGAAUUCCAGGUGUAGCGGUGAAAUGCGUAGAUAUCAGGAAGAACACCCGUGGCUAAGGCGGCUCUCUAGUACGGUACUGACGCCGAGACGCGAAAGCGUGGGGAGCGAACAGG
rnacentral:rRNA from 1 species